GAUGAACGCUGGCGGCGUGCCUAAUACAUGCAAGUCGAGCGAACAGACGAGGAGCUUGCUCCUCUGACGUUAGCGGCGGACGGGUGAGUAACACGUGGAUAACCUACCUAUAAGACUGGGAUAACUUCGGGAAACCGGAGCUAAUACCGGAUAACAUGUUGAACCGCAUGGUUCAACAGUGAAAGACGGUCUUGCUGUCACUUAUAGAUGGAUCCGCGCCGCAUUAGCUAGUUGGUAAGGUAACGGUUUACCAAGGAAACGAUGCGUAGCCGGCCUGAGAGGGUGAUCGGCCACACUGGAACUGAGACACGGUCCAGACUCCUACGGGAGGCAGCAGUAGGGAAUCUUGCACCAUGGGCGAAUGCCUGACGGUGCAACGCCGCGUGAGUGAUGAAGGUCUUCUGAUCGUAGAACUCUGUUAUUAGGGAAGAACAAAUGUGUAAGUAACUAUGCACGUCGUGACGGUACCUAAUCAGAAAGCCACGGCUAACUACGUG
rnacentral:rRNA from 1 species